UGAACAGCAACAACACGAAAAAGCAAAACAAACAUCACCCCAAGAGACGUGUCUUCGGAUGAGUUUGUUUACCGCAGACUUGAAUCAGUGAAAAUAAAUAACUUUCCGUAAUCCGGUGGCCACGAAGGACCGAAUACAUCACUCUACAAAUGUGGUUCCUGCGGUGAAUUCCCAGUUUUUUUUAGGGCUUACCUAGUUUACGAAUUUAGAUUGUUAAGGCAGUAACUGUACAGGGUAAAAGAAAGCGCAAUUUCACAAAUGGAGCGCAAUUCCGUCCAAACGGUGACGUUGAUGAACAGCAUCAUCGGUGUCGGAAUCCUGUCGAUGCCGUUUUGCUUCCAGAAGUGUGGAGUGGUUUUAUCGAUAGUGCUGCUUCUGCUGAGUACCUACAUCACAAAGUUAGUUUGUAAUUACAUGAUCAAGUCGGCGAUCAUCGCCCGCAGAAAGAACUUCGAACAAAUUGCAUUUUACGCGUUCGGAUCCUGCGGCAAAUUGCUGGUGGAGCUGUGCGUGGUUGGAUAUCUGCUUGGUACGUGCAUUGCGUACUUUGUGGUGAUGGGAGAUUUGGGUCCCCCGAUUGCGGCCAAGAUGCUCGCGAUCAACGAGAGCAGCUCCCUGCGGACGUGGGUCAUGAUCGUGGUCACAGUGGUUUGCAUCAUCCCGCUGGGGUUGCUGCGAAACGUGGAUAGUCUCUCGACGGUCUGCACCGCAUCGUUGGGUUUCUACGUGUGCUUAAUUCUGAAAGUGAUGGCCGAAUCCAGCGAACAGAUCAGCAUGCCUGGUUGGUGGGACAGACUGGACAUGUGGAAGACAGAAGGCAUUUUGCAGUGUUUGCCAAUAAUCAGUAUGGCGUUGUCGUGCCAAAUGCAACUAUUCGAAGUAUAUGCCACCAUGCCGACUACAUCACUGGACAAGAUGAGUAGAGUGGUACAAAAAUCCACCAAUUUGUGCGCGUGCAUCUAUGGGCUAAUUGGAUUCUUUGGCUACGUCGCCUUCAAUGGGCAUCAGUUUUCCGGCAACAUCCUAAUGAAUUUUUCAUCUUCCUACGCGUCCGAUAUCAUCAAGAUUGGAUUUGUGCUUUCGAUAGCGUUCAGUUUUCCGCUGGCAAUCUUCCCCUGUCGAGUCAGCUUGUAUUCAUUGCUGUACAAGAAGGCGCAUUCCGAUACCCAUAUGUACAUUCCAGAGUCCAAGUUCCGUCCGUUGACGGUGGUUAUUGUGUGUGCAGCGCUGCUGCUGGGGUGGAUGGUACCUUCGAUCGAAGUUGUUAUCGGUCUGGUCGGUUCUACAAUUGGGGUAGCUGCCUGCAUAAUUCUACCGGCCGCAUGCUACACGAACAUCUGUAGAACGAACAUUUCCGAAAAACAGCUGGCCCAAGUGAUGAUUGGACUCGGCUUCCUGAUAAUGAUUCUCGGAACUUAUGCCAAUUUGGAGGCGAUGAAUCGCGUUACGGAGAAGAAGUAUGAAACUGCGAUGGAAGAUAAAAUCAUUCUAGAAUCGGUGAUAGCUGUGGAAAAACCGCACGAGAAUUUAGAUGACAAAAUAGAGGAACUGAAACCAAAGCUACCGAUCCUACAGGAAAUUGAGAAAAACGUACAAAUGAUUACGGAGAGCAUAAUUCCAAACAUGGAGGAGCCAGUCACUUUUAAAAAUGUAAAAAUUGAAGAAUCUUUCGCCAAUAAGGAUAAGGAGGAAAAGGGCGCCAUCUCUCCUGGUCCACCGGUGCUUGAAGAUCACAAAGACAAAAAAGAGGAAAAAAUCGAUCAAGAUGCCAUUCUCAAAGAGGAAAAAGAAAUCGCGGUCGAGGAGAAAGAGCAAAUCCAAAAAGAAAUUAUAGAAUUACAAAGUGCUAAGAAAGAGUUGCAGGCUCAGGUGGAAAACAUAAAAGAGCAACUGGUCAAAACGAACGAAGAAACACAACAGCUCGUGCUUAAAAAGUUCGACGAAAUUGUUGAAAAAAUCGACCAGAAAGUGUCAAAAGAAAAAGAUGAUACAAAACCGGAAACCGCUAAGGAACCCACGUCGGACCUUAAAAAAGAUCCCAUUGUGCGCCUACUGACUGAACAGGGUAAGCUAAAUGCCAAAGCCAACGAAUCCACGAAGCCUGACCCGGAAAUGCCGGCAGUAAUCCCAAAAGACCAAUCGGUGCCAGCAGCGCAAGAUACCAAACUAUUCGCUGGCGAAGACGCUAAAAAUGACACCGCCAACGAAAAAGAAUUGCCACCUCCUUCGCCAAUCAACCAAGACGAGGAAAAACGAGAUCAGGAUAAGCUCCCUUUGCCAAUCCAGCCCAAACAAGAGGAUGAAAAGAGUGUACCUCUUCCACCGCUGCCGGUGGAGCUGGAAAAGCAACCGGAACCGGUCGAGCCACAAGAGCCUAGCCCGAACAAGUCCGACGACACCGCGAAAGAGAGUCAGGAUGCCGGCUCAAAGAGGGAUUUGCUGUCGGUGCGAAGUAAACGCAACAUCGCGAAACUGCAACAAACAGUUAACACGUCGAUUUCAAAUCGUCAAUUUGUAGGAGUCGUAACGAACAUAUUCCCUUUGGCCCACAUCUAAGAUCCUGAAUCAUUAAAUACCGGAUUACUGACCGAGGAUACCAGUGCCCGUGCCUCGUUUACUACCACAAAACACUGCCAAAUGCUGGAACGUUUUGUCCUUGCCGGACUGGAAAAUAUGCACAGUACUGGGUGAUCUACGUUUCUUGGCCGCCGACGAUCCAGAAAUUGCCAAGAGGAGCGUAUAAGCUCGAAGAAGAAAAACGUUACAUUUGAUGGAUCUAUCGAGCAUGUACUCACAAAGCCCAUGCAG